AACCUAGCUAGGUAACAGCUGGUAUCAAUUGCUAGACACAUGAAUGAAGAAGCCUUUGUAUUAUUCCAAGUGCAGCCUUAGAGUCUUCUAGCUGAGGCUCCCUUCAACACAGUAGAGUUUUCCCAGGGUAAGACUGACAAAGCCGGAGACCCUGUCUGCCUGUCCUCAAGAGGAUGUUUUUGAAUGAAGGAGCUACAUUUCCAGCUUUCAAAGGAAGUAACAGGCAGUGCUACAUAAAGAACCUGAGGACAGGAUGAUGAGUGUUUGUGGGACCUAGGAGAUGAGAAAAAUCCUGAAGGAAGCCAAAGGGGAAAAAAAACCACCUUAAUUACAGAGCAACAACGAUAAGAAUCACAUCAGACUUCUCCUUAGAAACCAUACAAACAAGAAGAGAAUGGAAUGAAAUAAUUAGUGUGUUGAAAUUUAAAAACCACUGAAUUGUAUCCUGUGACAUUGUCCUAAAAAGUAAAGGAGAAAUAAAGGCUUUUUCAGACAAACAGAAGUGAAGGAAUUUGUCACCAGUAGAUGGGCCCUUGAAAAAAAUGUUAAAAGUUCUUCACAGAGGAGGAAAACUAUAGAGGCCAGAAAC